rnacentral:rRNA from 1 species
UAAUACGGAGGGUGCAAGCGUUAUCCGGAUUCACUGGGUUUAAAGGGUGCGUAGGCGGGUAAGUAAGUCAGUGGUGAAAUCUCCGGGCUUAACUUGGAAACUGCCGUUGAUACUAUUUAUCUUGAAUAUCAUGGAGGUAAGCGGAAUAUGUCAUGUAGCGGUGAAAUGCUUAGAUAUGACAUAGAACACCGAUAGCGAAGGCAGCUUACUACAUGUUAAUUGACGCUGAGGCACGAAAGCGUGGGGAGCAAACAGGAUUAGAUACCCUGGUAGUCCACGCCCUAAACGAUGGAUACUCGACAUCAGCGAUACACUGUUGGUGUCUGAGCGAAAGCAUUAAGUAUCCCACCUGGGAAGUACGACCGCAAGGUU